rnacentral:lncRNA from 1 species
UAUCAGACAUUAAUGAACCAGUAAAGAAGAUACUGAGGUGCAGAAGAGCUUUCCCAGUGUCCCAGGAGCCAUUCUACACAGCAUCCUACAGAAUGACUGUGGAUCUGCUGUGCUUAGUUUCUUUACUUGUGAAAACAGAGUAAUAGUAGCACCUACCUCACAGGGUUGUUCUGAAGAUUAGAGGGGUUCUUUCAUGGGAAGUUCUAGAGCAGUGCUUGAGACAUGCCCCACCACUCUUGAGAGUAUGAGUCAACAGAAGUUUGCAGGCUAAAACCAUUCAAUAAUAUUUUCAUCAAUACUGGAAUGAUAGUAAGUAACAUUACACAACAUCAGAGGCCAAAAAUUUUUCUUUGUUGAAGCCCAAGAUUUUAACUUAUUCUUCAUUACCUGAAAAUACUGCUCAUUUAACCUCUUUAGGAAAAAAAAAAAUAUUCUGUAGAUGAAUAAUUCCUGCCUUAAUGCUUCACCCAAGACAGUUCCUUCAUACUUAUCCUCCGACGCUUUGUUCUUUUCAUCCAUUUGAUGUAGCAGGCAACAAGAAUCACCUUUCCUUUGGUGAUCUGACAUAGCGAUC